AUUGAACGCUGGCGGCAUGCCUUACACAUGCAAGUCGAACGGCAGCACGGGUGCUUGCACCUGGUGGCGAGUGGCGAACGGGUGAGUAAUACAUCGGAACGUACCUUAUCGUGGGGGAUAACGCAGCGAAAGCUGUGCUAAUACCGCAUACGCCCUGAGGGGGAAAGCGGGGGAUCGAAAGACCUCGCGCGAUUAGAGCGGCCGAUGCCUGAUUAGCUUGUUGGUGGGGUAAAAGCCCACCAAGGCGACGAUCAGUAGCUGGUCUGAGAGGACGAUCAGCCACACUGGGACUGAGACACGGCCCAGACUCCUACGGGAGGCAGCAAGGGGGAAUUUUGGACAAUGGGGGCAACCCUGAUCCAGCAAUGCCGCGUGAGUGAAGAAGGCCUUCGGGUUGUAAAGCUCUUUUGUCAGGGAAGAAACACCGGCUCUAACACAGUCCGGGAAUGACGGUACCUGAAGAAUAAGCACCGGCUAACUACGUGCCAGCAGCCGCGGUAU
rnacentral:rRNA from 1 species